rnacentral:rRNA from 1 species
GACAGAGGGUGCAAACGUUGUUCGGAAUUACUGGGCGUAAAGCGCGUGUAGGCGGGAUCUUAAGUAGGAAGUGAAAGGUUGGAGCUUAACUCUAACACUGCUCCCUAUACUGGGAUUCUUGAGUGCCGGAGAGGAAGACGGAACGACACGUGUAGCGGUGAAAUGCGUUGAGAUGUGUCGGAACACCAAUGGCGAAAGCAGUCUUCUGGACGGAUACUGACGCUGAGAAUACGAAAGCCAAGGUAGCAAACAGG